UACGGGGGGGGCAAGCGUUGUUCGGAAUUACUGGGCGUAAAGGGCUCGUAGGCGGCCAACUAAGUCAGACGUGAAAUCCCUCGGCUUAACCGGGGAACUGCGUCUGAUACUGGAUGGCUUGAGAUUGGGAGAGGGAUGCGGAAUUCCUGGUGUAGCGGUGAAAUGCGCAGAUAUCAGGAGGAACACCGGUGGCGAAGGCGGAUCUCUGGGCCUUACCUGACGCUGAGGAGCGAAAGCAUGGGGAGCAAACAGG
rnacentral:rRNA from 1 species